rnacentral:rRNA from 1 species
UACGUAGGUGGCAAGCGUUGUCCGGAUUUACUGGGCGUAAAGAGCGCGCAGGCGGUCGUCCAAGUCGCGUGUGAAAGCCCCCGGCUCAACUGGGGAGGGUCACGCGAUACUGGUCGACUCGAAGGCAGGAGAGGGUAGUGGAAUUCCCGGUGUAGUGGUGAAAUGACGUAGAUAUCGGGAGGAACACCAGUGGCGAAGGCGACUACCUGGCCUGUUCUUGACGCUGAGGCGCGAAAGCUAGGGGAGCAAACGGG